rnacentral:rRNA from 1 species
CUGGCUCAGAACGAACGCUGGCGGCAGGCCUAACACAUGCAAGUCGAGCGAGGACUUCGGUCCUAGCGGCGGACGGGUGAGUAACGCGUGGGAACGUGCCCUUCACUACGGAAUAGUCCCGGGAAACUGGGUUUAAUACCGUAUACGCCCUUCGGGGGAAAGAAUUUCGGUGAAGGAUCGGCCCGCGUCUGAUUAGGUAGUUGGUGGGGUAACGGCCUACCAAGCCUACGAUCAGUAGCUGGUUUGAGAGGAUGAUCAGCCACACUGGGACUGAGACACGGCCCAGACUCCUACGGGAGGCAGCAGUGGGGAAUCUUAGACAAUGGGGGCAACCCUGAUCUAGCCAUGCCGCGUGAGUGACGAAGGCCCUAGGGUCGUAAAGCUCUUUCACCAGGGAAGAUAAUGACGGUACCUGGAGAAGAAACCCCGGCUAACUCCGUGCCAGCAGCCGCGGUAAUACGGAGGGGGUUAGCGUUGUUCGGAAUUACUGGGCGUAAAGCGCGCGUAGGCGGACUGUUAAGUCAGGGGUGAAAUCCCGGGGCUCAACCCCGGAACUGCCCUUGAUACUGGCAGUCUCGAGUUCGAGAGAGGUGAGUGGAACUCCGAGUGUAGAGGUGAAAUUCGUAGAUAUUCGGAAGAACACCAGUGGCGAAGGCGGCUCACUGGCUCGAUACUGACGCUGAGGUGCGAAAGUGUGGGGAGCAAACAGGAUUAGAUACCCUGGUAGUCCACACCGUAAACGAUGAAUGCCAGACGUCGGGCAGCAUGCUGUUCGGUGUCACACCUAACGGAUUAAGCAUUCCGCCUGGGGAGUACGGCCGCAAGGUUAAAACUCAAAGGAAUUGACGGAAGGGCG